UGCAAGUCGAGCGCGUGUAGCAAUACACGAGCGGCAGACGGGAGAGUAACACGUGGGAACGUACCCUUCAGUCCGGAAUAACCCAGGGAAACUUGGACUAAUACCGGAUACGUCCGUAAGGAGAAAGAUUCAUCGCUGAAGGAUCGGCCCGCGGCUGAUUAGCUAGUUGGUGGGGUAACGGCUCACCAAGGCGACGAUCGGUAGCUGGUCUGAGAGGAUGAUCAGCCUCACUGGGACUGAGACACGGCCCAGACUCCUACGGGAGGCAGCAGUGGGGAAUAUUGGACAAUGGGCGCAAGCCUGAUCCAGCCAUGCCGCGUGGGUGAUGAAGGCCCUAGGGUUGUAAAGCCCUUUCGGCGGGGAAGAUAAUGACGGUACCCGCAGAAGAAGCCCCGGCUAACUUCGUGCCAGCAGCCGCAGUAAUACGAAGGGGGCUAGCGUUGCUCGGAAUCACUGGGCGUAAAGCGCACGUANGCGGAUCGCUAAGUCGGGGGUGAAAUCCUGGAGCUCAACUCCAGAACUGCCUUCGAUACUGGCGAUCUUG
rnacentral:rRNA from 1 species